rnacentral:tRNA from 1 species
GGGAGAUUGGCGUAAUUGGCAGCCGCAGUAGAUUCAAAAUCUACCGACGAAAGUCGUACCGGUUCGAGUCCGGUAUCUCCUA